AUCGAACGCUGGCGGCAGGCUUAACACAUGCAAGUCGAGCGAGCGGCGGACGGGUGAGUAAUGUCUGGUACACUGCCUGAUGGAGGGGGAUAACUACUGGAAACGGUAGCUAAUACCGCAUACUAUCAGAUGUGACCAUAUUGGACUAGCUAGUAGGUGGGGUAAUGGCUCACCAAGGCGACGAUCCCUAGCUGGUCUGAGAGGAUGACCAGCCACACUGUCACUGGGCUACGGUCCAACGUCCAACGGGAGGAAGUAGUGGGGAAUAUUGCACGAUGGGAGCAAGCAUGAUGCAGCCAUGCCGCGUGUGUGAAGAAGGCCUUAGGGUUGUAAGGCACUUUCAGCGAAGAGGCGUUACUCGCAGAAGAAGCACCGGCUAACUACGUGCCAGCAGCCGCGGUAAUAC
rnacentral:rRNA from 1 species